rnacentral:snoRNA from 1 species
AAGUUGAAAUGUAAUGAGCUCCUCUCCCCAUGGGGGCCUGGUGGGCAGCAGCUGCAGACACCUGGUAGAAUCCACAGCCUGUGGCUUGUAUGGAUUGCCCUAAGGGACCUUGGAGGCAGCC